UGGGGAAUAUUGCGCAAUGGGCGAAAGCCUGACGCAGCAACGCCGCGUGAGUGAUGAAGGCCUUCGGGUCGUAAAGCUCUGUCGGGAGGAGAGAAUUCAUCGGCAGGAACAAUACCCUGCCGGUAUGACGGUACCUCCAAAGGAAGCACCGGCUAACUCCGUGCCAGCAGCCGCGGUAAUACGGAGGGUGCAAGCGUUGUUCGGAAUUACUGGGCGUAAAGCGCGUGCAGGCGGCUUCAGAAGUCGGGUGUGAAAUCCCUGGGCUUAACCCAGGAAGUGCGCCCGAAACCAUGAGGCUUGAGGUCCGGAGGGGAUCGGGGAAUUCCCAGUGUAGAGGUGAAAUUCGUAGAUAUUGGGAGGAACACCGGUGGCGAAGGCGCCGAUCUGGACGGAUUCUGACGCUGAGACGCGAAAGCGUGGGUAGCAAACAGG
rnacentral:rRNA from 1 species